rnacentral:rRNA from 1 species
UAAAGGUAUUCCGGUAGACGAUGGGGAUGCGUUCCAUUAGAUAGUAGGCGGGGUAACGGCCCACCUAGUCUUCGAUGGAUAGGGGUUCUGAGAGGAAGGUCCCCCACAUUGGAACUGAGACACGGUCCAAACUCCUACGGGAGGCAGCAGUGAGGAACAUUGGUCAAUGGGCGAGAGCCUGAACCAGCCAAGUAGCGUGAAGGAUGACUGCCCUAUGGGUUGUAAACUUCUUUUAUAAAGGAAUAAAGUCGGGUAUGGAUACCCGUUUGCAUGUACUUUAUGAAUAAGGAUCGGCUAACUCCGUGCCAGCAGCCGCGGUAAUACGGAGGAUCCGAGCGUUAUCCGGAUUUAUUGGGUUUAAAGGGAGCGUAGAUGGAUGUUUAAGUCAGUUGUGAAAGUUUGCGGCUCAACCGUAAAAUUGCAGUUGAUACUGGAUAUCUUGAGUGCAGUUGAGGCAGGCGGAAUUCGUGGUGUAGCGGUGAAAUGCUUAGAUAUCACGAGGAACUCCGAUUGCGAAGGCAGCCUGCUAAGCUGCAACUGACAUUGAGGCUCGAAAGUGUGGGUAUCAAACAGGAUUAGAUACCCUGGUAGUCCACACGGUAAACGAUGAAUACUCGCUGUUUGCGAUAUACGGCAA